AACGAACGCUGGCGGCAUGCCUAACACAUGCAAGUCGAACGAGACCUUCGGGUCUAGUGGCGCACGGGUGCGUAACGCGUGGGAACCUGCCCUUAGGUUCGGAAUAACUCCCCGAAAGGGGUGCUAAUACCGGAUAAUGUCUUCGGACCAAAGAUUUAUCGCCUUUGGAUGGGCCCGCGUUGGAUUAGCUAGUUGGUAGGGUAAAAGCCUACCAAGGCGACGAUCCAUAGCUGGUCUGAGAGGAUGAUCAGCCACACUGGGACUGAGACACGGCCCAGACUCCUACGGGAGGCAGCAGUGGGGAAUAUGGGACAAUGGGCGAAAGCCUGAUCCAGCAAGGCCGCGUGAGUGAUGAAGGCCUUAGGGUUGUAAAGCUCUUUUACCCGGGAUGAUAAUGACAGUACCGGGAGAAUAAGCUCCGGCUAACUCCGG
rnacentral:rRNA from 1 species